rnacentral:rRNA from 1 species
AAGUAGUAAUAAUUAAUAAAACUUAUAUAAAUAGGCGGCACAUAUCUAAUAGAGGAACUUGUUUAAUAAUCGAUAACCCACGAUAAAUUUCACUUAAACUAAUAAUUUAUAUACCACCAUCAAAGAAUUAAUAUCAUAAUUAUAUUCAAAACAAAAAAUAAAAAGUUAGGUCAAGGUAUAAUUUAUGUUUAAGAUAAAAUGAGUUACAUUAAAAACUAUUUAUAAAAUAAUAAUAACAAUUUUUCAAUAAAGAAUUUAUAAGUAAUAUAUAUAUAUAUAUAUAAUAUUAUAAAUAAUUAUUAUAUAUGAAUAAAUAUGUAUAUAUGUGC